GGAGGUGCUCCUGGUGUGCUGAAUCUCCAAAAGAGAGCAACUCUGGAUCAAAUGUACCAUUUGCAUAGGUGAGGCUUAGAGAAUUCACAGCGAUUAGUACAAAAACCUGGCAAAGACCCUUGUGCUGUGACAGAGCUCUGCAUCACAUAGCACCAGGGAGCCUGUUUGCUGGGGAGACCUGAGCUCCACUGUCACAAUGGAGACAACACUUCAGGCUCCAUUCUCGGAGCAGGAGGGCUGCUAGGUUAUAAAUUGUUUCUCUUUGUCUACAAAGCAGGCAGGGGGAAACUGAUCUGAUCUAGCAGCAGGAGUUGGUGCGUUCUUGAGCUGAACAGCAAAAAUCUUGGUUCAGUGUGUGUGGAAGAAGGUCAGACAGUCCUGCUUCACUGACUGAUGGACUCCCAGGUUGAAGCUGUGAGAUAAGUACAUGAUGCUCUUCUCCUGUGAAAUGAGUUGCUGACCUCAAAGUCUGGUAAGACUUCUAACCAUGCAUAGAUCACCUUGAAGACUGAAAAUUCGAGUGAACUUAACCUCAUGUAAAAAAAAAUA